rnacentral:rRNA from 1 species
AUUGAACGCUGGCGGAAUGCUUUACACAUGCAAGUCGAACGGCAGCACGGACUUCGGUCUGGUGGCGAGUGGCGAACGGGUGAGUAAUGUAUCGGAACGUGCCCAGUCGUGGGGGAUAACGUAGUGAAAAUUACGCUAAUACCGCAUACGAUCUAUGGAUGAAAGCGGGGGAUCGCAAGACCUCGCGCGAUUGGAGCGGCCGAUAUCAGAUUAGGUAGUUGGUGGGGUAAAGGCCCACCAAGCCAACGAUCUGUAGCUGGUCUGAGAGGACGACCAGCCACACUGGAACUGAGACACGGUCCAGACGCCUACGGGAGGCAGCAGUGGGGAAUUUUGGACAAUGGGCGGAAGCCUGAUCCAGCCAUUCCGCGUGCAGGAUGAAGGCCCUCGGGUUGUAAACUGCUUUUGUACGGAACGAAAAGGUUUCUACUAAUACUAGGAGCUCAUGACGGUACUGUAAGAAUAAGCACCGGCUAACUACGUGCCAGCCGCCGCCGUAA